UUUUUUUUCGAAGAGAAAGCAUUUGGAGAGGAUGGAAACUUGCAGCAACCAAAGGAGCUCUCUAUUAACAAAGUUGGCCAUGCAUUACAUGAGCAUGACCCAGUGUUCAAAAACUUCUCUAGCUCUGAGAAAUUUUCAAGUAUGCUACUUUCCUUGGGUUACAAGAGGCCAGUGGUUAUUCAGUCUAUGUACAUAUUUAAGCAACCAGGUAUUGGAGGUGAAGUAGUGCCUCACCAGGACAACUCAUUUCUGUAUACUGAGCCAACAACUUGCACAGGGCUGUGGCUGGCCUUGGAAGAUGCAACAAUACAAAAUGGUUGCCUCUGGGCCAUUCCUGGAUCUCAUAAAAAUGGUCUGGUCAGAAGGUUUCUUAGAGGUGAACAAGGGGUGUAUUUUGAUCGGCCUUUCCCUUCUUAUGACCAAAAGGAUUUUGUGCCUAUUGAAGUAAAAGCUGGUUCUUUGGUCAUCAUUCAUGGUGAUCUUAUUCAUCAAAGUUUUGAGAACCAGUCUCCAAAAUCAAGGCAUGCAUACAGCUUGCAUGUGGUGGAUACUGAUGGCUGUAAAUGGGCACAAGAUAAUUGGAUCAGACGAAAAGUGGAGCCAGAGCCUCUCUAUGCAUCCUGAUCUAGGCUGACGGAUCCAUAGUCAGUUUAAACAAAAUGGAUGACGCUUACAUGUCAAGCAGCACCUUGUUUUCUCAGUUGCAGCCUUGUGAAAUUGGAUAUAUGUGUUUCUUGUUCUUGCUUUUUUACACGUCC
rnacentral:misc_RNA from 1 species